UCUAAUUUGGAGGUCGGAACAUGACAUGACUUACAUAAAGAACUCAAACCCAAGAUAUUGGAAGGACUUGAAUACAUAAGACAUUAGUAGAAUGUCUUCUUAAAUUAACGUAGGAGUUUUCUUGAAUAGAAACAGAUUUAUCAUGACUUUUUUCGGGACCUACCCACCAUGAGAAAAUUCAAGAGCUACCUUAGUCUAUCAUCUCCCCCUUAGAUGAAA
rnacentral:lncRNA from 1 species